GUGUUGAGGUUUUUUAAUCAUCAAUUGGUGGAGAUGGAGAAGGAGGCGGAAUCGCUCGGCCCUUUUCACGUUGAAUCUCUUCGAAAAUCAAAACCCUCAUCAUCAUCUAACCAAUUAGUGGACAUAUUUGUCAUGGGAGGACACUCAAGGGAAAGUGGACAUCUUUGUCAUGGGAAUCGAAAGUGGAGGCAUUGUGUCUGGUGUUGGACGCUAUCUCAAAUCUCAAAAUCCUAAUGUAAAGGAAAUUCUCAUUAGAUUUUUUAGCUGGAGUCCGGAGACACCACUAUCAGUGUUUGAGAAGCCAUUAAUCCCCAUGUAAGUCCCCUUAUCUUUUUCUGUUUUCUUCAUGUCGUUUUAUUUAAUUGGAAUUUUAAUUUAAUUAGUUUAGUUGAGGAAAUUUCAAGUUAUUGAUCGAAAAUGUAAUCACUUUGAGUGCUUCUGAUUAUCUUUUGCUUACCCAGGAUGGUAUGUGAUUUUUUUUUUGUAAUUAUCUAUUUGUGGAAAUACUUGCUAACUCCAGAACCCGAUGAAGCUUAUAAUUGAACGACAACCAUGGUCAAUUAACGAGGUAGGACUCCCAUACCCAACCUACUUCAAUCCCAGCUCAGAUGAGGAGAUCAUAGCAUGACAGUCUAACAUCGGGAAGAUGAAUCGGAAGUACUUCAUUAGCUUUGCUGGGACCCCACACAAGCGUUGGGAGAGCAUAAGAUCGAUCCUCAUUGCACAAUGCACUUCUGCUCCUAAUAAAGUCUGCAACUUCUUAAACUGUAUAGGAGGAUCAUGUGUUGAAUCAGCACUUUUUGAGAAACUUUUCAUGGCAUCAGCCUUCAGCCUCCAAGGCACAG